CAAGUAAGAAACGCGAUCGCAAUCUUGGGAACAUCCUGCUGAAAUCUGACCUUCAGUUUACCUUUUGGCUAAGGUUUGCAGCCGGAGAAAUCCCUUCUCCUCAGCUCUCCUUAGGCACUAUUGGUUUAACUGUCCAAGAGAAGAGUGACUAUGCAGUUGUUAAUAUAGAAGCAGUCAAAGGCAAUUAGAUAAGGCUGUCGAAUACAAAUCAAACAUUUGACAACCAACAGUGCCACUGUGGCUUUGAAGUGAGAGAACUGCAGGUGCUGAGUACCAAACUUCAGGUGAUCUCAGAAUUUAUGCUCAUCAGAGAUGAACACUACACUCUACAUGAGGUAAAGUUUUUGCAUUAUCUCGACAUCUAUACCCAAGUAGGAGAAAUCAAAUGUGUACCGCUGUGUCUGGG
ensembl:lncRNA